rnacentral:rRNA from 1 species
ACACGACGCUCUUCCGAUCUCGGCGGAUACCUUGGCACACAGAGGCGAUGAAGGACGUGGUUACCUGCGAUAAGUCUCGGGGAGCUGGAAGCACGCUUUGAUCCGGGAAUUUCCGAAUGGGGCAACCCUUUUAUACGGCCAGCUGAAUACAUAGGCUGGCGCGAGCCAACCCAGCGAACUGAAACAUCUUAGUAGCUGGAGGAAAGGAAAGUAAAAACGACUCCCUAAGUAGCGGCGAGCGAACGGGGAAGAGCCUAAACCAAUGGUUUCGACCAUUGGGGUUGUGGGACAGCAACGUGGAUCAGGAAUGUUAGUGGAAGUGUUUGAAAGACACGCCAUAGAAGGUGAAAGCCCCGUACACGAAAACUGAACUGACCUAGCUGUAUCCCGAGUAGCACGGAGCACGUGGAAUUCCGUGUGAAUCAGCGAGGACCACCUCGUAAGGCUAAGUACUCCUGUGUGACCGAUAGCGAAACAGUACCGCGAGGGAAAGGUGAAAAGAACCCCGGGAGGGGAGUGAAAUAGAACAUGAAACCGUGAGCCUACAAGCAAUGGGAGCCCUACUCAUAGGGUGACCGUGUGCCUGUUGAAGAAUGAGCCGGCGACUUAUAGGCACUGGCGGGUUAAACCGGAAAUGGUGGAGCCAUAGCGAAAGCGAGUCUGAAUAGGGCGUUUGUCAGUGUUUAUAGACCCGAACCCGGGUGAUCUAACCAUGGCCAGGAUGAAGCUUGGGUGAUACCAAGUGGAGGUCCGAACCGACUGGCGUUGAAAAGCCAGCGGAUGAGCUGUGGUUAGGGGUGAAAUGCCAAUCGAACCCGGAGCUAGCUGGUUCUCCCCGAAAUACGUUGAGGCGUAGCGUCUCGUGCUCCAGCAGGGGGGUAAAGCCACCAUUUCGGUGCGGGCUGCGAGAGCGGUACCAAAUCGAGAUGAACUCUGAAUACCCUGUGUGUAGCGAGGCAGUCAGACUGUGGGGGAUAAGCUCCAUGGUCGAGAGGGAAACAGCCCAGACCGCCAGCUAAGGUCCCCAAAUCAACACUAAGUGAUAAAGGAGGUGGGAUUGCCCAGACAACCAGGAGGUUUGCCUAGAAGCAGCCAUCCUCAAAGGAGUGCGUAAUAGCUCACUGGUCGAGCGAUCCUGCGCCGAAAAUGAAUGGGGCUAAGUGUUGUACCGAAGCUGCGGAUUUAUGGUAGGGGAGCGUUCUAUGUGGGGCGAAGCGUUAGCGUGAGCGGGCGUGGACUGCAUAGAAGUGAGAAUGUCGGCUUGAGUAGCGAAAACAUGGGUGAGAAUCCCAUGCACCGAAACCCUAAGGGUUCCUCCGGCAGGCUCGUCCGCGGAGGGUUAGUCUGGACCUAAGGCGAGGCCGAAAGGCGUAGUCGAUGGAUAACAGGUCAACAUUCCUGUACCGGUCAUGUUUUGGGAAGAGGGACGGAGAAGGCUAGCCAAGCCAGAUGUUGGUUACUGGUUCAAGCGUUCGAGGCGUUGAGGAUCGGCGAAAACGAUCCGAGCUGAGGCGUGAGUACGAGCUGCUACGGCAGCGAAGUUGGUGAUGUCAUGCUUCCAAGAAAAGCUCUAUACCCGUUAAGGCAUAACUGCCAGUACCCGAAACCGACACAGGUGGGGUGGUAGAGAAUACCGAGGUGCGCGAGGUAACUCUCUCUAAGGAACUCGGCAAAAUGGCCCCGUAACUUCGGGAGAAGGGGUGGCUACUCGUAAGAGAGCUCGCAGUGACCAGGCCCAGGCGACUGUUUAUCAAAAACACAGGUCUCCGCAAAGUUGCAAAACGACGUAUGGGGGCUGACGCCUGCCCAGUGCCGGAAGGUAAAGGAAGUUGGUUAUUUGACUCUUGAGUUCAAAGAAGCUGACCACCGAAGCCCCGGUAAACGGCGGCUGUAACUCUGACAGUCCUAAGGUAGCGAAAUUCCUUGCCAAGUAAGUUUUGGCCCGCACGAAAGGCGUAACGAUCUGGGCGCUGUCUCGGAGAGAGACUCGGUGAAAUAGAAAUGUCUGUGAAGAUGCGGACUACCUAUACCAGGACAGAAAGACCCUAGAUCGGAAGAGCGUCGUGUAGGGAAAGAGUGUAGAUCUCGGUGGUCGCCGU